GCAGUUUAUGGGUGGAUGGUGGUACACAUCGGUGAGUCGCAGGUGGAGCGGCCUGCUUGUGAUUCGUGCGGCCGGCUGGCCGCUCCCUUUGGAUGUAGGGUUUUUAACCGCUAUCGUAGGUAAAGAAGGGAAGAAAUGAAAACGGGAAGUUAACUGGUUUUGGAUUCUUCCUUUGGAACUCAAGGUGGUGGCGAUGGCGAGGAUGGGUGGCAUUUGGUCUAGGAACUACGACUUGCUCCACUCGGACGAAGCUGAGGACAUGAACACGACUAUGGCUCGUAGGUAAAGAAGAGGAGGAAUCAACAUCGGAAAUUAACUAGUUUAGGCUACCUAUAAAACUCAAGGCGGCGGUGAUGGUGAGGAUGGGCCGCAUUGGGUUGAUGAACUACUGUGACUUGUAGGGACAGAUCAGCAACGAUUAUGGGGACUGAAUGGUGUUGCACGCCGGCAAAGGGGCGCCAGACACCAGGACAUGUGGCCAAGGGAGUGAGCUCAACAUGGGCGCCAGGACACCAUGUUAUGCGAUGGAGCUCGCCGUACAUGGAACCAUGUUGAGCGGCGGCGCCAACAGUCUUCUUUGAUACGGAAAACGAAAACCAAGUGGUCAAGAGUGCCCUCAAGAAACUCGACACCAAUUGUGCAAUUUGGCAAUUCUGGUGGAUGGGUGGCUGUCUGAAAUGGAGAAACAAUUCUCAAGAAGCUCUUGUUCUUAGCCGCGGAAGCAAAGCGUUUCUAUAAAUUUGCCACAUUAAUGCUCAGUAAGUUGUUGAUUUUCAACAGAACAUUGAGCAACUUAAGUAUGUGCUGCAUCGAAGUUAUUGUAGAUAUGUGGUGGAAGACCUGGUUGUGGCCUUUUGGUAGUACAGAGGUCUUGAUUUAUAAAGCUUGUUAAAUAGGCUUUGCAUUCCUUUAAUCUCCCGAUGUAGGACAGGAGGAGUGCUAGUAGGAGUAGUUCCAACCAAUGCAUCUUCUUGUGGUUUCUGCAUUACAGUUUUGGAGACCACAAAAGGGAGGCCAUAUGUUGCUUCUCUCGACCCUUCCUGUAAAGAAUGAUCAUCGCCAUGUUUUUGGAAUUGGCUGAAUUUAGAUAUGUGACAGGUCUAUCACUUUCUUCUGAACCUUGCUAAAUAUGCCGAGAAAUUGUUCAUGAUGUUCUUUAUUGAAGAAUUACUGGUCUGGUUGAAUUGCAGUUUAAGUUUGUUCAUAAUUUUAAUCUAGAUCCAACUUAUGAAUAUGAGCAGAUUGCUAUUACUGGAGACCAAGAAUGCUACGAUUGGGGUUGUUGAUUAUCUUUUUAGAUAGAAAUCGAAAUACAUGGUUACAACAUAGGCCAAAACCUUCUUAGCUGACUUGUGUAUCUUCACCUGGGCAUCUGAUUCUGCAUGUACCUACUUGUGUACUUUGACUAGCUAAUGUUUUUUUGCUGACUUCUUAGCUGACACAUAGGUGAAGCCAUUUUCAAGAAAACAAAGUUGGUAGCCUGUAUUAGAUGCUCGGUGCUGCCUAGUGUCCAAAUUUAGUUAUUCUCGCUAAAUCUUUUCUAGAGACUACUAACCAUCAUGUUUUGGUCUUGUGCAAGGACAAUGAGGAGUAGUAGAUGAUGGCUAUGCCUUGCUAUUCGAGCUGUCUCUUUGCUCCAUUUUGUUUCAUCUUCAGGUGGGCAUCUACCAAGAUCGAACUAGCUGGUGCCUUUUCAUGUUCUUGAAUGGAUGUCUUGGCCCCGGCUCCUUUGUGUUGCUUUCUAUUUUUGGCUACUAACGCUUCAUGUGGCAGCUGCAUCCAAGAUAUGUGUGUAGUGGGAAUGGCGGUAAAAGGUAUUCCAAUGUUUUGACAUAUGGGUCUUCAUUAUUUGUGCUGCUCGUCAUGGAGCCGCUUAUCACUGCACGGCUAUGGCGGAAUGGCUAUGACUCAUCUCCUUUGUGGAAACUCGUUUACAUGAGCAUUCUUCCAGCUAGCCGUUACAUUUGUUGUUUGAAUGGUGUCUUACUGACGUGAAGAAUACGCCAUGGGAUGGGCUGGCGUUGCUUAAUUACUUGAGAUACCAAUAAUCAGUGUUGCUUAAUCAGCAGUUGGUCUGUGUGGGUGCUGAUUGAUACUGCAAUAUUUUCAUUGAUUUCUAAGGUUACACAUGAACAAAAAUGAAGACCAACUUUGUGUA